GCCCAUUUAGAGCAGUGGUUAGCUCGCUCGUCUCCGACGCGCACAGGCUGGAUAGCGAGAAGGCAGGGGUUCGAAUCCCCUAAUGGGUG